CAAACUAGCUCACCUAUUUAGCGAUGGUUGUAUUCUUUUGCUCCACUAAUUUUCUCUAAUAUCAAGUGUCAUGUAGGUAAUGAGAUAUCUACCAAUAUCAUUCAAUAUCCUUGGAUUUUAUCUAUUCCAAUUAUAAAAUAGCACGCUAUAGUUGAUAUUUUGCCUUUGAAACAUCUUAAAGUAAAUGAUAUUAUACUAGCUAGUAAGAAUUGAUGGAAUAUUAUUGUGAUUCAUCUAUACUUUUCAGAGUCAUUGGUACAGAGAAUUCUUUCUAUUCUUAAACCUGAUGGAGAUAGUGCAGAU
rnacentral:lncRNA from 1 species